UACGUAGGGUGCAAGCGUUAAUCGGAAUUACUGGGCGUAAAGCGUGCGCAGGCGGUUUGGUAAGACAGAUGUGAAAUCCCCGGGCUCAACCUGGGAACUGCAUUUGUGACUGUAGAGCUGGAGUACGGUAGAGGGGGAUGGAAUUCCGCGUGUAGCAGUGAAAUGCGUAGAUAUGCGGAGGAACACCGAUGGCGAAGGCAAUCCCCUGGGCUGACACUGACGCUCAUGCACGAAAGCGUGGGGAGCAAACAGG
rnacentral:rRNA from 1 species